UACCGAAGACACUAAACCUUAAAGUUAUAAACCCUAGGAACUGACUGUGCGCCCAGGAGGGCAAGACGACUGUACUUUUCAGCAGCCUAGGUGAGCUCCACACCC